UACGAAGGGGGCUAGCGUUGUUCGGAAUUACUGGGCGUAAAGCGCGCGCAGGCGGCUCUUCAAGUCAGGGGUGAAAUCCUGGAGCUCAACUCCAGAACUGCCUUUGAUACUGAGGAUCUUGAGUUCGGGAGAGGUGAGUGGAACUGCGAGUGUAGAGGUGAAAUUCGUAGAUAUUCGCAAGAACACCAGUGGCGAAGGCGGCUCACUGGCCCGAUACUGACGCUGAGGCACGAAAGCGUGGGAGCAAACAGGG
rnacentral:rRNA from 1 species